AAUUAUUAAUAAUUAAUUAUAAAUAAUAAAUUAUUUAAUUAUUUAAUUAUUAAAAUAAUAAAUAAUAAUUUAAAUAUAUUAAUCAGAUUAAUUAAUAAUUUACUGCCAUUAAAAUUAAAUUUAGAUUUUAAUUAAUCUUGUUCUCAUCCAAGAACAAUCUUGUUUCAGGAAACGGGUGGAACAGCAGUUCCAGUCUUAUACCAGCUACUUCCAGAUUUCCGGAAACUACUGUUCCCGGGAGCCAAACAUACCGUUUGGGAACAAAGGGGGGAACAAGGGCUUAUUCCCCCCUUGUUCCCCAACCAAACGCC
rnacentral:lncRNA from 1 species